CCUACGGGUGACUGCAGUGGGGGAUAUUGCACAAUGGGGGGAACCCUGAUGCAGCGACGCCGCGUGGGUGAAGGAGUGCUUCGGCAUGUAAAGCCCUAUCGGCAGGGAAGAAGCAAGACGGUACCUGACUAAGAAGCCCCGGCUAACUACGUGCCAGCAGCCGCGGUAAUACGUAGGGGGCGAGCGUUAUCCGGAUUCACUGGGUGUAAAGGGAGCGUAGACGGCCAUGCAAGCCAGGGGUGAAAGCCCGGGGCCCAACCCCGGGACUGCCCUUGGAACUGGGCGGCUAGAGUGCGGGAGGGGCAGGCGGAAUUCCUGGUGUAGCGGGGAAAUGCGUAGAUAUCAGGAGGAACACCGGCGGCGAAGGCGGCCUGCUGGACUGCGACUGACGUUGAGGCUCGAAAGCGUGGGGAGCGAACAGGAUUAGAUACCCCUGUAGUC
rnacentral:rRNA from 1 species